AGGCUUGUGAGCAUCCCAAAUUCUUGGGGUAAUUCUGUGACACAAGUUCCUGACAUUACUAAGUAAACCAGACUUUUCAACUUCCCAAGUGAAGCAGGUAGUUGCCGGAGUUCUGCGCAUUGACUUAGUCUUAAGGUGCGAAGCCUUUCAAGCAUUCCUAUGGACUCUGGCAGUGAUGUUAUCAUGGUGUCAUCCAAGAACAGAUCGGUCAGGCUCAACAUAUUUCCAAUGGACUCUGGUAAUGUUUUUAGCAAAUGACACGAUCUCAUCUCAAGUUUUUCGAGCAUGUUCAAAGCCCCAACCUGACUAGGAACUUCUUCAAUUGCUGUCCCGUCUAAAUUAAACCAAACCAAAGAUGACAAGCCACCGAUUGUGUCAGGCAAUUGGCUUAGAUGUUUACAAAGAUUGAGGGAUAGGCAUUUUAACUGGGAUAAGUGACCCACGGAAGCAGGUAGCUGUGUCAGUGAACUGCAACCAAGGAAAAGAUGUGUCAAUGAUCUGAGAUUCCCAAUAGUAUCAGGAAGUGUCGUAAGCGAUCUGCACAACACAAGACUUAGUUUCUCAAGCUCUGUCCAAGACUCUAUUGAACUUGGAAGUCCUUUGAUUGCUGAACCAUCAAGAGCAAUGUUCUUUAGAGAUCUCAGUUCUCCAAUGCAAUCAGGAAGUUGUUCCAGUGCAGUGCAUCUCUUUAAACUGAAAUUCUCUAAUUUUGUGAGUCGAAAGAUUGACUGAGGAAGUUGCUUUAUCGCCGUGUAAUCAAUGAAAAGCUCCUUCAAAGAUCUCAUCCCACUAAGGUCUGUCGGCAGUUCCUUGAGCUUUGAACAACCAGAGAGGACUAGUGUUUCAAGACAUUUCAAUCCAGAGACAUCACUUGGGAAUUCCAAAAGAUUGGAGCUGUCACUGAGGUUCAAAUAUUUCAACUUGGUCAGGUCACCGACUGACUUAUGAAUCUUCAGAAGUCCUUUGCAACGCACAAGAAUCAGUUUCUCCAACAUAUCAAACCCAGAUAAAUCGGGGAUAUCAGUAAGGUCAUAGCAAUCACGGAGAUCCAUGACCAACAAUUUCUUAGCCAACUGUCAACAAGAGUAUUUUAGAAGCAAAAUAAUUAUGGUAGAAAAUAUUGAGGGAAACGGACUUAUGACAAAAAUAAAGGGCAAAAAUGGAAAGUAGAGGAGCAUAUGCAUAAUUUGCUUAUGUACAAGUGCAAGAAAAAGAGUCCAGGAGAAAGCGGUAGAAGCAAUUGGUAUCUUUAUGGAUGGAAAGGCCAAGCUGACAGAUGGAAUUCUAGGAGCAUAAUUCAGUUCUUUUGCCAGCGAGUAAGCUUAAUGGAUUUCUUGAAGCUGUUCAAAGAAGGAAGACAGGAUAAGAAGCACACCCAUGUCAAAGGGUUUGUCACCUUCUGCACCUAUUCUACAAAGAGUAAUAAACCAGGAAAAGGUCUGAGUUCAGCCCAAACAAUAUAACACCUUCAUCGAUUAUCCACAAAUCUUGUAUAGAAAGUACUUUGGCAUUCAUUAUCACGAGGCCAGAUGUUGGCUCCAGUGCUACAUGCUCUCGUCACAUCAAAAUAGUUGACUAAGGUCUAGGCAGCACUGCGAAAAGAAUGUAGAAUCAUCUACAUGUCAUGAGAUUUUCAUAUAGCAUACCUGUUUCUUAGAAUGUCUCCGCUCCAGCAUACUAGUGAUUUUGCUUUCUGGGAGGUCAAGGACUGCAAGAUCCUGGGGGCAACUGUCGAAAGGAAAUGUCUUCAGAGGGCAACCUUUCCACUGAAGCCACUUCAGUUCUGCUGGUAUAUGCUUGAAACCUCCAUCCAGUGCCACAUAAUUAAUUUGAAGCAGCCUAAGGUCGACCAUCUGUGUAAAACAAGUAGUUUGCAGAGUCACCACCUUAUCAUUGUCUUGCUUCCGGGGAAGACAUUUCUUGCACAUUUCCCUGAAGUAUGCAAAUGCUGACUGAAAAGAGCGGUGCAAAAUGAAGUAAUGUCUUAGUAGAGCCGUUGUGCUUAUCUCCUCCCUUUUUCCCAUGUCCAAUGCAAUUCCCUGAAUAUUUCUUGUUCCCUGUGACCAUUAGAUGCAAAAAAGUUUCAGACAUGAAAUCAAAUCAAGUUCACAGAAAGGGAAGGCCGAAAUGCAUAUAUAUAUAUAUAUAUAUUUGUGAAUACGGAGUGAUGCAAGUAUUUGAUAGAUACAAAAGCUUAAAAAGCUUAGUAGCGUGUUUGUUGGACAAGUAAGCAACAUAUGUAUGGGAAGAAACAACUAUUGAACUGAGGCUGCAUCGGUUAUCAAUCUACUUUAAGAAGAUUUUUGGAUCAACUACAACAGAAGUUUGUGACAGAUAAAUGCUCCUAAGGUUUAGGCAAUUCAUUCGUACGAGUCAAGAUAGCAAAAUAGUCUUCCUACCUUCUUGUUCUUCAGAACUGUGAGGAUUUCAUCGCGGUCCCAUAAUCUGCUGCGCAUACUAGGGUGUUCAUAGUUUUCUUGCUGAACAAUAUCUCUUCCCAUGUCCCUUAUUUGGUCAUGCAUCCACAAGACGCCAUCCUCAAUGAUUUUAAGAAGCGAUUUUGCUAUUAGAACCUUAAUUGUUAUCUCAGGAUUUAGACCACAACCCCUCAAUACAUAUAUAGCAUCUUCUCUAGUCAUCUUCAUCUGAACGAAGAAGCAUGCGAUAUCGAGGAAAACACACUUCUCUUGGUCAUCGAGCGCAUUAAAGCUUAUCCCAAGAACAUCUUGCAAAUGGCCGGGUCGAAUCUGUUCCAGCUUCUGCAAUGCAUCUUGCCAUUCCUCUGCCCUCCUCUUGUCAUACAAGAAGGAUCCAAAUACUUCCAGAGCCAGCGGGAGUCCCCCCGUGAGAGCCACAAUUUUCUCUGCCACGCCCUUUAAGCUUUUAGUCGGUUGGUCCCUUCCAAAGGCAUGGAGACUGAACAGCUGAAGUGCCUCUGGGGAAGUCAACUCCUUCACCUCAUAAAACACAUUCACUAUGCUCUCCGGGAGGACCUCUUUGUCUCGUGUGGUCACGAUGAUUCGAGUUCCUUCGUAGAACCAGUCUCGACUACCACCCAGCGCCUUAAUUUGCCUUAGGUCGUCCACAUCAUCGAGCACAAUGAAAACGGGUUCCUCGAAUGCUAGACUUCUUAUCAGAUCGAUGCCGGCUCCAACAUUCUCGAUUCGCUGUCCCGACUCUUUACUUGAGGUAAGAUUACUGAUCAGUUUGGCUUGGAGAGAUUCUAAGCCACCUUCCAUCCGGGAAGCCUCUCUAUCUUUGGAACAAAGCUGCGGCGUCGGAAGUGAACCACGAGCUUGUUGUAAGAGCCUUGGCCAGGGUUGUCUUGCCGAUUCCUCCCAUUCCAUGGAAUCCCAAGAUCAGGACACCCUUCGAAUUGACGUUCACAAUCCUCUUCAGCUCUUCGAAGCGACGUUCGAGUCCAACGGGAUACUUGGCCACUCCCAAGGGCGUGUUCUUCAACUUGGUCAAUAUUCUCUUCACUAGAGAUUGGAUUAGCUCCGCUUCGUCCCUGUCAUGAACGUGGUCACCAUGUAAAGUGGAGUUGAGGAUUAAAUUAGACAAUGGAAUUGUGGCGAAUUCCCGGAUGCUUGAAUACAGCUCGCUUAUUUAAACAUUCACUCAGGUCUGCACUUUAGGAAAUGAUCUUCCAAAACGAUUUUUUGAAUUCCCACUCAUUGAUUUAGGAACUGAAUACAUAGCAGCCAACUUCUGCAUCAAGGAUGUGGAUGAUCUUCUGUCAAGGUCAUGUUUUCCAUUUUCCAAACCUCAGAAUAUAAAACAUGUUCAUCCACAUGCUGGGAAAGAGAUGUCUUCUUCUAUAUGAGUCUUGAGUGAUUAAUCUUAUGCAGUUCCAACUGAUUAUUAGGUUACAAACUGUAGCCAUCAAUUAAAUAUGCAAAAUUAAUUGAAUAUAAAGUUGAAACGAGGCACUUCUAGUUUGUGUUUCGUUCCGGAAAUAUGAUGGAAUUCUUUUUUCCAAUUCCUUUUACCGUUAAUGGCUUGGAGUUUAUGCAUGUGCUCAUUCUUUUUAUCGUUAAUGGAGUAUUACACUGACAAAACAGAAAUGACUACGAAUUAUCAUUAUCAUUAUUUAUCAUUGUGAUAACUUAUUUAGUAAUGCUAGCUACACAAAAGUUGUUAUGCAAAAUUGGUGUAUACUGAGCAAUGUGUAUAUCAUAAGCAUGCACUUGAAUGAAAGUGUUGUAUUUGAAAUCAAAUGAAAACCACUCACAAUCCCAAAUUGGUAUAUUCAUGCCACGAUUGCUCCAAAUUCAUUUUUGUGUGACAAAAAAUCUCUAUGCCACAUUUACUCUAAAAAAAUCUCAGAUUAACUACAAUUUAUGGUAAAUGUGGUAUUUUUGAUCAUACAUGUUUUGGGUAGUUUGGAGUAAAUGUAACAUGGGUAUAUUUAUUUGGCCGUGACCCUCAUCCAAUGGCUGGCAAGCUCACAACCCUUGCCCAAUGCUCGCUGGCCAUUGAUGGAAAAAAGAAAAGAGAAGAGGCAAACGUAAAAUUAAUAAAAAAUUAAAAAGAACUAUUAAAAAUUAUUUUUAAAAUGUCAACGUAAGCGUCGGUCAUUUUACAUCGCGAGCCAUGCCGCAUAAGACAACGUAGGACAACCAAUAUUUACGUCAACAAUUUCCGACCUAAAUUAGUUACAUGGAUUGAAUUGGUAUAAAUAUAAAAUGGUUUAGGAUAAAAUUGGUCUAAUCAAAGGGUUUAGAAAUUAAUAUAAUAGAUUUAUAAAUUUUUUUUAUACUUUCUCCCAAUUUCAUCUCCUUUCUUCUUACAACGAUUUGAUCGUGUUCUAAACAUCAUAAUAGAGAACAACAAUAACAAUAAUAAUUUCCGAUCAUCCUAACUCAAUCCGGAUUUCACCGUGCAAUUAUCGUAAGACUCGUUUAGUGAAUUCCGUGACAACAACAUAUACGUGCCAACUAUACCUCACAACAAGGCAAAUUUGAUGAUGACGAGAUGCAACGACUCAAUGGUUGGGAGGAAUUGCAGGGGCAAACGCUUUAACCUAGUCUCCAUCAAGACCCUUCCCCGGAAAAAACCCCCCAUGCAAUUGCAGAGCUAGCUAGAUGGAGAAGAACGUUCAGUAUGUAAAGGAAAUUCCAGUGGAUCAUACAAGACAACAGGCGUAGCUUGACAGCGAAAGAUGUAGAAUUGGCUGUCUACGGAUAUGAUUGAUUAUCGUAAGAAAUGAGUGCGGCCAAAAGUAGCCAACAUGAACAAGAGGACAACGAAGACACUUUAUCAUCCGCAUAGUUGAGGGACACAAUGUCAAAGUUAUUGAAUUUAUUAGACAUUCUCUUUUGUAUAAUUUGUGUGUAAUCGUUAUUAGGAAAAUUUGUAAAUGUGAUUUUUUUCAGAUUAUUUGAAAAUGUACCUGUACUUUUUCUGUGUUUAAUUGGCUUAGUGUUUUUCAUUAUUUCCCUUUGAUUAAUUUUUAAUUAAAAAUUUAAUUUAUUUAUAUAUAUUAAAAAAACGUGCUUGGCACGGUAAGAUCUCAUGCUGGGCCUAACACAAAGUGUGCUGAGCCUAGCGUGACCGACGCAGCCGAUUAGGAUGCGAAUGGUAACAUUUCUAUUCCGGGAAACAAUUUCUAUUUCUACUCUCUUGUAUAAUUUCUAAGUAAAAUAACGUGUCUAGUAACUAUACAAGAUUUCUAUUAUUGGAGUAGAAAAAGAAUAGGAAUGCGUUUGGUAUAGUCCACAAAUUUUUGUAUUUUUUCGUUUUUUCUUCAUGGUCACCGAUUGUCGAACGUUGACCGCUCGCCGCUGUAGGCGACAGUUGGUGGGCGGCAGACAACGUCCGAUGAUGAUUGUGCGGCAGGCGGCCGACGUUGGCGCUGGUGGCAAUUAGGCGCCAACAAGCGGCCAUUGGUAGCUAGUGGUGGCCGCAGGCGGCAACAAAUCCAAGGGCGACUGCUGCAGUGAGGGAGAAGAAAAAUAGAAAAGAAAAAAAUGGCUUAUUUCUACAAAUUAUUCAGGAACAAGAAGUUACUUUUUUUUUUUAACUUCUUGUUUUUGUUUCAAAUUUAUUCCCUAACCACUUUUCUAUUCCGAGGAAUAGAAAAAUUAGUUGUCAUUAUGAAAGGGAUUUCUGUUUCUUUUUUGUUACGGUAAACAAAAGAACAAAAAAUAGGGGAACAAAAAUGUUCCCAUGCAGCCCCUUUAGUCACCCCCGACUCUAAUAUUCUUCUUUCAAAAGAAAACUCAGCAUUGUUCUCUACUAAAAAUGAGUACAAUGAUUACAACUAAACCUAAAUCUCACAGAAAUGAUGUGUUUCAACAUAUUUAGGCGUGUAGUAUUUAGAUCAAAUGCAUCGGAAUGUAUAAACUUAUAUUAGAUUAUCGUAUCAGAAAGCAUUUAUACAAUAAGUUCAUCUUGUUACUGUUUGGUACGAAAUGUAUAUAUAUUCGAUCACUCUCGCAACUUAAGCCAGAGAAAGAAGAAAGCACCAGGCACCAUUAAAAAUCGCAUGGCGGAAUGCAGAGUGAAAUUUCUCAGCAGUGGGAGUCUAACGUGAGAAAAACGAAGAAGUCCAUGGAAGUGUUGGAGUCAACACCUAAUAGAAGACCCAAAAAAUUGACAAUGAUCAAGAGAAGUUACUUCUUGCAUGAAAGGCACGCCUUUCCCUCUCUCUAUUUCCUCAAGAAGCCGCAAGUCGCAAGAGAACAAAGUCAAAAGAAGAAAGGGAAGCAAGGUCAACUUGCUAACUUGUACUUGGACGUGAAGAAAAAGUUGCGGCUGUUCUCAGUUCACACUGAAGUCAGCAAUCUUCAAAAGCCAGUGACAACCUCAGAUUAUAAAUAAGGCAGCACGUGAAGCAUUUGAAGACAGGCCAAAGUGCCCCGAAGGCAGAAGUGCCUCAAGGCCGAAAGGUCUCAGAGAGGCUCAACAGCCUCAAGCCAUCGCAAGCAGAACAGACUCAGGGAGAGAGCCUCAAGCCAGAGAGAGGACGUCACGCCACACGCAGGGGGAGACUUCAAGCCAGAAAGGAAGCCACCAGGUGCAAAGGUGAGCUUUAGGGAAGCCACAUGCAUGUGAGCCUCCAGCAGUGAGAGCUUCAGAACAGGAAGUACAGGAAGUCACCAGGUGCAACGGUGAACUUCUAAUAGAGAGGCACUAUAGCCUCGGUAGCUUUGUGUGAGCAGUGAUCAAGAAGGGAAAAUAUAAUAGCUAAGUGUAUGCUUGUAUUAAGUUAGGUUUGAGCGUGGAGUAAAUUUGGGANNNNNNNNNNNNNNNNNNNNNNNNNNNNNNNNNNNNNNNNNNNNNNNNNNNNNNNNNNNNNNNNNNNNNNNNNNNNNNNNNNNNNNNNNNNNNNNNNNNNNNNNNNNNNNNNNNNNNNNNNNNNNNNNNNNNNNNNNNNNNNNNNNNNNNNNNNNNNNNNNNNNNNNNNNNNNNNNNNNNNNNNNNNNNNNNNNNNNNNNNNNNNNNNNNNNNNNNNNNNNNNNNNNNNNNNNNNNNNNNNNNNNNNNNNNNNNNNNNNNNNNNNNNNNNNNNNNNNNNNNNNNNNNNNNNNNNNNNNNNNNNNNNNNNNNNNNNNNNNNNNNNNNNNNNNNNNNNNNNNNNNNNNNNNNNNNNNNNNNNNNNNNNNNNNNNNNNNNNNNNNNNNNNNNNNNNNNNNNNNNNNNNNNNNNNNNNNNNNNNNNNNNNNNNNNNNNNNNNNNNNNNNNNNNNNNNNNNNNNNNNNNNNNNNNNNNNNNNNNNNNNNNNNNNNNNNNNNNNNNNNNNNNNNNNNNNNNNNNNNNNNNNNNNNNNNNNNNNNNNNNNNNNNNNNNNNNCGAGUAUGUCUGACUUCCCCUAAUACGGUUUUGAUGAAAUGACUAGAAAUGAACAGCAACUGCAGCACAGUUUCCGAGUUCAGAUCAGGAGCAACCGAUCAAAGACGGAAGAAGAAGGGUUUAAGUUCAAUCGACUGCUAAUUCAAAACCGGAUUCAUCAUGAACUUUCGGAGUAAGUACGAAGGAGACAGUCGCGCGGUUAUGAUUACUCACCUGCUCCUCGAAUCCCAGCCGGAGAUUCCACCAGCCUUCUCCAUGGCCGUCCUCCACGGGCGGACCACCUCCGCUCCGUACCUCCCCUCGUGCUUCUGGAACCCCCGCUCGAACGGGCCCGCCUGCCUCCGCACGUGCGAGGGGUCCACGUUGUAGAACACCGGGAGCAACAGCUUCCGGCGCUCGACGAUGUACGCGAGCUCCUCCAGGCACCACCUCGACUCGGCGUAGUUCUCGGAGAUAACGGCCACGGCGGCCGCCGAGUCGUCGAUCCCCUCCAGGAGGCCCGACGAUAUCUCCUCCCCUCCCUCGAGGCCUUCCUCGUCGCGGAAGGCGCGGACGCCGUUGAGCGCGAGCUCGCGGUAGAGGCUAUCGGUGACGCCGUGGCGCGUGUCGGCGCCGCGGAAGCUGAGGAAGACGUCGUAGCGGUAUCGAGAGGAGGACAGGGCGUCGUCCUCUUCGGGAUCUUCCAGCACCAUCGUCGUUGACUUCGCUUUCGCGAGGUCUCUUCGCGGAGGAGGUGAUUGCAGACUCUAGUGGCCAGCUUUAAUAACAGUAUAAAGCGCGAGAAAAUACUGGGUGGUCCCGGAUCUCCACGUCAGCGUGGUUUAAAUUAAAACAACGUGGGAGAGAAGAGGAGGAGAGGACUCGGAGGGGAGGGGAGACAGCAAGGGGCCCACACUUCCACGUGGCGCCGCAUGAGUUGUCCGGGACCACGCUGACGUGGAGGUCCCGGACCACCCAAUAUUUUCUCUUCGUAGGGAUGGCUAUACAUGCAUUCUCGUAGUCCAGUUCCUGUUCCAUUUGGCGCGUCUAUAUGGCGAGCAUAGCGAUUUCUACUAACUCCGAAGUGAAGUAUGUGGCCUGUCUUGACCUUUUUAUUGAAAAAUCUUCAAGUCCACUUCAAUCAAAGGAAAAAUUUUAAAAUUUAUCGUGGAAGAACAAUUAAAUUGUAAAAUUUAUCAAAAAAUAUAAUCAAAUCAUAAAAUUUAUCAAAUUAAUAUAAUAGAACCAUUUCAUUAAUUCACUAUCUAACAGAAAAUGCUGAUGUGAUUUUCUUUCAAUAUUUUUUCCAUCUUAAGUGACACGGCCUAGUUAAAACAUGAUUUUCUUUCAAUAAUUUUUACUAUCAUUUGCAUUUAAAUUAAAUUUUUAAAAAAGGAGAGCUGAGAAACUUGCACCCCUGGCUCUCAUCACCAAACCAUCGCUUGGAAAGGCAGGUGAUGGUGGGGCAUGACUGGCGAUUCGCAUGACUGGCGAUUCUCGCUCCUUUUUUGUUUAUUUAUAAUUUAUCUUAUUUUUAAUUUAACUUAAAUAAAAUUUAUAUUAAAAAUCAGAUUUAGAUCAAAAUAACGUUCUUUUUUUAAUUAAAUUACGUAGUAAGUUAGAUAGAGUUGACGGAAAUAAUUCCUUGCGCAAAUUUGACAAAUCCUAUGACUUUUUGCAUUUUUUGUAAGUUUCAAGUUCAAUUGCACUUUUAUGAUAAUUUAUAAUAUGAUUUCUAAUACACUUAUCUCUAAGAAAUACGUACUCGAGGGAUGCUUGAACAUGUUUGUCUUCUUCGGUCAAUAUCUAAAUUUCAAUAUUUCCAAACGUGCGCAUUCAUCUCGACCCAUUUAAAAAAAUUAUAUUUGUUAACACCAAAAAUGGCUUAGUGGGCCAUGGGUGAAUAAUAAGGCCCAAUAAGCUCGAGAUUUGUGAAACAAGCCCAUAAGAGUCCAGGAGAGAUCGCCAUCGUGAGUACUGACAAUUCGAUACCCAGGAGGAUAAGAAUGAAGGUAGUUACUGAAGGACUUGAUACCAACAAAUUCACGGAUAAAAUAAUGCAAUUAUUGGCGCGGCAUUAAAGAUUUCGGAAAAUUUGAAAUUGAAGUGAUGACCGCAAGAGGACUAUUAUUUGCAAUUCAUGAUUAUAAAUAGAUGAGUAGACACCACUGUAAAGGGAUCACACAAUUGAAAAGAAACUUAAAUAUAUACUCAAUUUCAGAUAUCUUUCUUUACUUAUCUUCGUUUUGCAUUUACUUUCAAUCGCUUUAGCUUUAUCCUUUAUUUAUCAUAGUCAUAUUAGAAUCGGUAACUUCCUUUCCAAAACGACACAAGACCUAAUAUAAACACACAAAAAAGUGAAAACUUAUCUUUCAAUGAAAGAUAUUUUGUGUGAGAAUCUUUUCAGUGAAACAAUGUGUGUCUUUUGCAUUUAUUCGAUCCAGUUAUAAUUGUUAGAUGGCCUAUGAUUUCUCUAAUCUCGUGAUUUCAAAUGAAGGAUUCAUCAAAAUAAGUUUUUGAAGUUUGUAUGAGAAAUUUGAAUUUAAAUAUUAUCACACGAGAAAUAUUAUUGGUCGAGACCGAUCUACUUGAUCGAUCGAUAAUGGAAUUCAUAUAGGAUUUUAUGAAACCACGAGUUUUUACUGAAUACUUUCGAGGUUUUCUACACUAGAUUGUUUAAUGCUAAGUUCAACAAAGGUGGGUUUCAUGCCUUUCUUUUUCGACUAAUGGGUAACUCUAUCCACCGAACUCCUGAUAAUCAUUUAUUUGAUGGGACCUAACUUUAGGGACGCGUGAAGCGCACAAAAUCAACGGUGGACGCAAGCUCGAUUCGGCGAAGAGAUUCUCCAAAGAGAUAUAUGCAUUACAUACUUAAAAACUUGUCACAAAAGUAUAAUCAAAUCCUAAAAUUUUUAAAAAAGUAUAAUUAAAUCUUAAAAUCUAUUAAAUUAGUGAAAUCGAGUCUUUUCAUUAACACCAUCAAAUUAUCUAACGGAAAAUGAUGAGUUGACAUUUUAAAAUUAAUUUCUCUACUACGCAAGAUUUUUUUAUUACUUUUUCCUUUAAAUCUUAUUUAAACAAUACCAAAAACAGAAAAAAAAUCUAAAAUAAUUAUAAAAAAUGGAAAAAAAAGUAGGUUAGGAACAUGCCGGUGGGCGCUAUCGUCACUGCAGUCUGCCGCCCAUUGCUAGAGGGGUUGGCAAGGCAUCGCUUGGGCAUAAUGGCAAUCAUUGGUGAGGCCUUGCCCAAGGUAGGGGAUGGUCGCUAGGGGUGUUAAUGGUUUUGUUCAGUUCGGUUUUUUUGAAAAACGGAACUAAACCGAACUGUUAGGAAAAACUUCCAAACCGAAUUGAAAUUUUGGUUCAGUUCAAUUUUCAACUUUUCGUUUUUGAUUUUUGCAUUUUUUUGUUUUUUUUUUUUCUGUUGUAUUUCCAAAAAAUAAGCUUUUAUUGAUUUGUUGGUUCAGUUCGAUUCAGUUAACCGAUAAAAAUCGAACCGAUAAAAAAAAUUUCGAUUUUUAAUGAGAAGCAAAUUGAAAAAACCAAAUUUUUCGGUUCGGUUUUUGACACCCCUAAUGGUCACCACCUAGAGAAGGGCCGGCAUCACCUAAAUUUCAGUGCCCUCAACCUAGUCUAGGUGAGCCUCACUUAGAGCCAGUGAUGAGCAACGGCGGCAAUAACACCCAGCCGCGAGUCCUUACCCUUUUUUUUUUCCCAAUUUUUUUUUAUUUUUUAAAUUUAUUUAAAUAAGAUAAGAAUAAAUUAAUUUAAAAUGCCACGUCGAUAUUUUUUUUAACAAAUUGAUUGUGUUAACGGAAGAAUUCGAUUGUAGCAAUUUAAUAAGUUUUAAUACUUAAUUAUACCUUUUAAAACUUUGAUAUUUUAGGAUUUGCAUUGCACAUAUCCCUUCUCCAAACUUUCAUGGAAAACAAUAAAGCAUCGCUUUUCUCUUUUGCUUGCUUUCUUCUCCUGUUCCUUUCUUGUCUACUUUGCUUCUCCUGUUAUCCUAUCUUUGUUCUCCUAGGUGGAGCUCAAGACCUAGAUAUUCUACUCUCACAAUAUUCUUACCUUUCAAUUACAUCCAAAACACGCUCUAAUAACAAGGUUCUUUUCCUUCUCUUGGUUAACUUCACUUACCAAAGAAUCACUUCUUUCUUAAAAAAACAUGUUCGAUAUGAUUUUACUCGUUUACUCUUCAGGUGACUUUUACCAUUAUAAACAAAUAUACCUCCGUGUACUUAUUAAGUGAUCAAAAGUUUGCAAUUUCCUAUGACCUUUUUGGUGGUGUUGAGAUUAGUGUUUUGAGAAAUAUAUUUUUUUUUGGCUAAGUAGUAAGUGAUUUUUCUCAAUAAUAAAUUUGGGAACCUCUCUUUCGCCAAAAAGGUGAUUGAAUUCCAAUCAACGUGCAUCACCCAAUCAAGCGAUUAAGAUUGAAGUUUGACAAUCCAAUGAGAAACUCUUUAGUUCAUUUCCAUAUGUCAUCUAACGAUUUUUUUUUUUUUGCCGUAGCCAUCUAAUAAUUGAAUUACCUACAUUUUCCUUCUUUUUUUGUCAGAUUCUUUUUUCUUUCUAUCGGUUACAUUUUGAUAUUUCCAAUUUGGUUAUCGAUAUUCCAAUUUAUAUUAUCACUAAAUUACAAUUGCUUAAAUCACGGAAAGUUUCGAUUCUAUUCUAGAAUACAAAAAUUUAAUACCAAAAAUUAAAGCAAAUGGGGGUCCGUGCAUUGCCUACUUACUAGCUCGGAUGUACAUUUAUCCGUUCAUUACUACUACGAAAUGAAAUUUUUAGACCGUUUUGAGUUUCUCUAUUAUUAUAAGAAUCGCAAACUUACAAUCUUUAGGAUUCUCUCUUUCAAAAUUGCUCUUCUCGACAAAGGGUCGUACACAUCGCUGAACAGAAGCAAAGGGAGGGAUGCAAUGAAACCAGACUUUCAGACUCAAUCCAGAUGCUGAGUAUCGCUUGUUUCAGAGCGGUAGGAAUACUGCUUACGUUCAUUCUGUACGUGCAUUUAUGGUUGCCAAACCGUGGAGUCUUGCGUGCUUUUCAGGAAACGUCUUGUUAUGUCUUCCCGUUCGUUGUUUCUUGUCAAAGCUUUUCCUCAUAAUGCUGGCUCACCUUUUAUUCACAACCGGCUCGCUGCUCAUUUCUUGCAUUGCCAUUGCUUGGUUGGCGGCAAUGAAAAAUUCCUUUGUUAUAUUUCACUAAUUCACCUGGUUGCUUUUUGUCUGGAUGAGUGGGAAAUCUGUUAGUUUAUUGUGGGCACUACUCUGGGAGCCAUCGCUGUUGCAUCCCUAAGUUGUUUGAGGAUGACAAACCAACCGAGCCUCAGUCAAAAAAGUUGGAUGGCUAUUAGGAAUUGCUGAAAGCGUGACUGUUGAAAGUAAGAAUUCUCAAGUUUUCAAAAGUGAUCCAAACUUCUAAAUUAUUUUCUUAUGAUCCUCUUCAAACCCAGAAGUAAUUAUAGACUCCUUGCGUAAGUACUUGCGGCUUGGUGCUUAAUCAUUUGGUCUUACGCAAGAGAAAGGCAGAAAAUAUCUUUCGGAGCUGUCCUAUUCUUUUCUGUUGGCAAAAGCUGUUUGCAAGAAAAGGUGUAUCAUCACCAUAUAUACACAAGUCCUUUUACUGUAGGAAUGAACCCUGACCUAGUAUCGCCGAAAGAGGCAUGUUGUGAAGUGGUCGAGUGAUGAAAGAGUUUCUAAAGAAGAAGUUUAGAGUGGCUUUUUGUCACUUCAUUAUGAGGAUAAAGAAAAAUAUAUUUCACAAGGAGCUGAGGAACUUGGCCAGUUUCUGAGACACUGACUUCUGGGAUUCCUCCAUCCAUUCUUCAUUACCAUCAUAAUCAUCAUCGUUCUCGAAAACCAGAUAUAUCCCGCGCUUUUUCAGUGAGAGCCCAGGAAAGUAGGGCGGGUCUCGCAGCACUAUAUCUAUCCUGUCUCCUUCUUUUAACAUCCGAACCAUUGGCCUGAAUUCCGGAAAUCUAAUCAAGUAAAGCUGGUCCUCACUUGUGUCGGGGACCCCCAUCAGGUUAAACACCGUGGUGUGUAUUGGAACUUCAAGCCUGAGAAGCCUUCCUUUAAUGCCCACGACUUCUGGCAGUAGAAUGUUUCCCGGGUGUACACUGUCCAGAGAGACCACAGCAGCGAAAAUUAUUCCUCUAAUCUCGCGGUUCUUUGGAGCAGAAAAAUGAGAAAUUUCCUGAGAAAACCAUCGUGGAGUCUCGCUCCCAGGGACACUCAAGUGGUACAAAUGCUUUAAAGCAACCUGAAUUUUCCAUGAAAAACACAUUUAAGGUCAAAUUUUCUGCAUUCGUGAUUGAACAUACUAAACAAAGGGAGAAAAACUGAGAACUGAUCUUCAAUUAUCUUUUGCUUCAGUAAAAUACUCUCUCAAAGUGGGAGCUAUGGGUUGUCUUUUCACCUUUUCAAUUCUUCUCCUCACUGCUGGCAAGCACGCUUUGCAACCACCCAAAAAUAAACUUCUUAGAGACUUCAAUACCUGGAGACCGGGGAUGUCAACUAAAUUGCUGCAACUGGUAAAAUUCAGCUUCUUUAAACCCUCCACAUUUGUCAAGUCAUAUAUACGCUCCAAUGCAGUACAGUUUGCCAUAUUCAACUCAAUCAAGCUUGAGGGAAGUGGAGGCAGAUAUAUGAGCUUGUUACAAUGAGACAAAUCGAGCUUUUUUAGAAGCACAAGGCCCCUCAGACUGGAUGGCAAGCUAGACAAAUUGUUACGACCCAAAUUCAAUUCCUCCAAGGACGACAACCUUUCAAAAUUAUCAGAGAUGCUUCCUGAAAAUCCCCAAGCAUGAGCAUCCAUCUCUUUCAAUGAACAGAGAUUUGCAAAGGACUCUGGAAGAACGAUAUGUUUUAGAGGCUGUUCUCUAUUCAGCUCUUUUCUCAUUAUCAAUGAUGUCAGGCUUGUGAGCAUCCCAAAUUCCAGGGGUAAUUCUGUGACACCAGUAUCUGGCAUUACAAAGUAAACCAGACUUUUCAACUGCCCAAGUGAAGCAGGUAGUUGCCGGAGUUGGGUGCAUUCACUUAGUCUUAAGGUGCGAAGCCUUUCAAGCAUUCCUAUGGACUCUGGCAGUGUUGUUAUCAUGGUGUUAUACAAGCACAGAUCGGUGAGGCUCGACAUAUUUCCAAUGGACUCUGGUAAUGUUUUAAGUGAACGACAUGAUGUCAUCCGAAGUUUUUCAAGCAUGCUCAGAGCCCCAACCUGACUAGGAAGUUCUUCAAUUCCUGUUCCCGCUAAAUCUAACAAACCCAAAGAUGACAAGCCGCCAAUUGUGUCAGGCAAUUGGCUUAGAUGUUUACAACGAUUGAGGGACAGGUCUUUUAACCGGGAUAAGUGACCCACAGAAGCAGGUAGCUGUGUCAGCGAACUGCUACCAAGGAAAAGAAGUGUCAAUGAUCUGAGAUUCCCAAUCGUAUCAGGAAGUGACGUGAGCGAUCUGCACAGCACAAGAGUUAGUCUCUCAAGUUCUGUCCAAGACCCUAUUGAAUUAGGAAGUCCUUUGAUCGCCGAACCAUCAAGAGCAAUGUUCUUUAGAGAACCCAGUUCUCCUAUGCAAUCAGGAAGUUGUUCCAGUGCACUGCAAUCUUUUAAACUGAAAUUCUCUAAUUUUGUGAGACGAAAGAUUGACUGAGGAAGUUGCGCUAUCGCUGUGUAAUCAAUGAAAAGCUCCUUCAAAGAUCUCAUGCUGCUAAGGUCUUUCGGCAGUUCCUUGAGCUUUGAACAACCAGAAAGGACAAGUGUUUCAAGGCAUUUCAAUCCAGAGACAUCACUUGGGAAUUCCAAAAGAUUGGAGCAGUCACUGAGGUUCAAAUAUUUUAACUUGGUCAGGUCACCCAGUGACUUAUGAAUCUUCAGAAGUCCUUUGCAACACACAAGAAUCAGUUUCUCCAACUUAUCAAACCCAGAUAAAUCGGGGAUAUCAGUAAGGUCGUAGCAAUAACGGAGAUCCAUGACCAACAAUUU
rnacentral:lncRNA from 1 species